CUGAGGCUGCAGGUGGUUGGUUUGGUUAUUUUUUUAAUUUAAGGAAAAAGGCUGGAACUUGCCCCUUAAAGGUGCUGCUUCAGAGUGACAGUGCUGUGCAGGGGAAGAGCAGGGAUGAAAGAACAAAAAGGAAUGGAUGCUGGAUAGUUCCCAUAGAGAAUUGUUUCCUGAUAAUGUCAGGCUCACUUUUUACCUGUAUGUGUUCCUCGACCACAACACCAUAAAUGCACUUGAAGCACAGAGCUGGUUAGUGAAUGACAGACUGAAAGAUUUCUACUGAAGAGAAAUUAUCUGACUGUGUGUAUGUCUAUGUACUUUGCUAAUUUUGAGAUUAAGCUGCUAGGUUGUGAUGAUGAACAAUUGUUGGCUACAGUUGUAUGUGCCCAGCUUGUGAUUUUUGCACAAAAAUAUGGACAGCAUGAAAUGUACCUAUUCUUACUUAUUUUUUGAAAGGUGAUGUCUAAUUAGCAAACUUAAUUAUUUUGUGUCUGUUGAAAGCAACAAUAAGGCUUCAAAUGUAUUGCCUUUGGGGUUUUUUCAGUACUCAUUACAAUGUUUUCUGGCAUUCAUCAGCACUUCUAAAUUACUGGGAAGAGUGUAAUUAAUCAUUCACUUCCUUAUGCUUCCUACUAGACAAACACAGAUCAUUGCAGGCAUUCAGAUUUUCAAAACAAGCUGCAGCUAGUGGAAAUCUUGAGGGAAGCACUGCUUUAAACAUUCUAUCAACAGAUUACAGCACAAAAGGUAACUCAGUGCCUGACUGUAACAGCAUUUGAUGACAAACAGUUUAUGAGUUGUCUUUGAGGAAGGAUUUCUAUGUCACUAAGUCAAUAAAAAUUCAAGGAAGAAGUUUAUGGAAUUUGUUUUCAGUCCAGUCCAAGUGCAUCUCCAAGCAACUUGAGAAAAUAGAGUUCAAGUGUUAGAAGCCCCAGAUUCUGCGCCAAACAUUGUCAGCUGACAGUUCUUUCAUUGGGAUUUAUUUACGUUUGCUGUAUUAAAUCAGAAGUCAUAUAAAUAAAAGUUCCAUUUGUGCUAGAAAGGAAAAGUAAACCAAGUAGACAAAUUCAGACUACAAAGAUCAGAGUUUUUAUCUUUAUUCUGCAAAUAUGGAACAUUUGGAAAGCAUUGUGUAAACGGAACUUAGGCCAAGUUUUCUGAAAUAGUUACCAUCUGAUUUGUCUGCAUGAUACUUAGUUGGUAAAAAUGCAUAUUGCUCUGUUUUUGGAAGUAAGAGCUUACCCAUGAACUGCAACCUGUAGAGACAGAAAGUGUGUUCUUAAAUGGUUUGUCAGCAAAGUUUAAAUCUGCUGCUGUCCCUACCCACCCAAGCUGCUUCACAAAAUCACAUCACCGCUGGAAUGAAAGCACUUGGAGCACUCGGAGAGCAGUGGCCAAAUGUGUAUAACAUGCUGCCCCAUGAGGAGGGGAGGGAACAAGCUGGCCAAGAACUGAGUAUAAGCUCCUUUUCUAGAAAACCAUUCUUCAAAAGAGCAGAGUGCAGCAGCAUGCUUCAGCCUCCAGGAUUCACACUGCUAGCUUCAAGGAAGUAUGACUACUUUUGAGUUAUUGCUUAGAUGAAUGAUAAUAAUAAAAGCUGACUAGCUUAAAAAAAAAAAAAAGGGACCUUGGAUCACUGUCACAUAACUGCUGAUAACAAUGAUUAUUAUGUUUAUCUUGCCAUUUUUAACCUUGUUGUCACUUACCACAUUUCACUCUAGACUCUGGUCUCUGAGAAGUCCAUGCUAAAAUGAACAUUUGUUUCAGCAAAGGCUUCCAAAACUGAAUGCAAGCCACAAAGGGUUUCUUUUAAGUUGGAUAUGAGUGGGCUUUUUUUUUUUCCUCCUCCCUUCCUCUGAAGGAGAGAAGACAAGUUCUGGAAGCUUGGUUGCUGGGCUAAAACAUUAAUAGCAUGAAAUCUCUUCAGUGUUUCUGUGUUAAAUGCUGUUUCAGAGCCAUUGCCACUUAAGGGAUUUAGUUGCUGAAUACUUACCUAAAACCUGUGUUCCCAGUUAAACAUAAGA